UUUUAACCGAACGGAUCGCGUUAUGGCUUCGGCCGGCGAUGGAUCAUUCAAGUUUCUGACCUAUCAGCUUUCGACGGUACUGUAUUGGACUACCGUGGCAGUGACGGGUAACGGGGAAUUAGGGUUCGAUUCCGGAGAGGGAGCCUGAGAAACGGCUACCACAUCUAAGGAAGGCAGCAGGCGCGCAAAUUACCCAAUCCUGAUUCAGGGAGGUAGUGACAAGAAAUAACAACACUGGAAAUUUCAUUUCUAGUGAUUGGAAUGAUGGGAAUCCAAACCCCUUUCAGAGUAACAAUUGGAGGGCAAGUCUGGUGCCAGCAGCCGCGGUAAUUCCAGCUCCAAUAGCGUAUAUUAAAGUUGUUGCAGUUAAAAAGCUCGUAGUUGGAUUUCUGCUGGAAGCAGCCAGUCCGCCCUUAGGGGUGUGUACGUGGUGAAAUUCCGGCAUCCUCCUGGUGGCGCUUCGCACUUAACUGGGUGGAGUGCUUUUCCAGGACUUUUACUUUGAGAAAAUUAGAGUGUUUCAAGCAGGCUUGUUGCCUUGAAUACUGCAGCAUGGAAUAAUAAGAUAGGAUUUCGGCA
rnacentral:rRNA from 1 species